rnacentral:rRNA from 1 species
ACUGCCGGUGAUAAACCGGAGGAAGGUGGGGAUGACGUCAAAUCAUCAUGCCCCUUAUGGCCUGGGCUACAAACGUAAUACAAUGGCGUAUACAAAGGGAUGCGAAAGGGCGACCUGGAGCAAACUCACAAAGUACGUCUCAGUUCAGAUUGGAGUCUGCAACUCGACUGCGUGAAGUCGGAAUCGCUAGUAAUCGUGAAUCAGAAUGUCACGGUGAAUACGUUCCCGGGCCUU